rnacentral:rRNA from 1 species
GAAACAGUGGCUAAGACUGGAUAGGAAGAUAAAAGGCAUCUUUUAUCUUUUAAAAGACCUAGUAAUAGGUAUGCUUUAGGAGGGGCUUGCGCCAUAUUAGUUAGUUGGUAGGGUAAUGGCCUACCAAGACGAUGAUGUGUAGCUGGACUGAGAGGUUGAACAGCCACAUUGGGACUGAGACACGGCCCAAACUCCUACGGGAGGCAGCAGUAGGGAAUUUUCGGCAAUGGAGGAAACUCUGACCGAGCAACGCCGCGUGAAUGACGAAGUACUUCGGUAUGUAAAGUUCUUUUAUCAAGGAAGAAAAGCAAAUGGCGAACCAUUUGUUUGCCGGUACUUGAUGAAUAAGCCCCGGCUAAUUAUGUGCCAGCAGCCGCGGUAAGACAUAAGGGGCAAGUGUUAUCCGGAAUUAUUGGGCGUAAAGGGUGCGUAGGCGGUCUAGUAAGUCAGUGGUGUAAUGGCAACGCUUAACGUUGUCCGGCUAUUGAAACUGCUAAACUUGAGUUAGAUAGAGGCGAGUGGAAUUCCAUGUGUAGCGGUAAAAUGCGUAAAUAUAUGGAGGAACACCAGAGGCGUAGGCGGCUCGCUGGGUCUUAACUGACGCUGAGGCACGAAAGCGUGGGGAGCAAACAGGAUUAGAUACCCUGGUAGUCCACGCCGUAAACGAUGAGUACUAAGUGUCGGGUUAAACCGGUACUGAAGUUAACACAUUAAGUACUCCGCCUGAGUAGUACGUACGCAAGUAUGAAACUUAAAGGAAUUGACGGGACUCCGCACAAGCGGUGGAUCAUGUUGUUUAAUUCGAAGAUACCCGAAAAACCUUACCAGGUCUUGACAUGUUUUUGCAAAAUGAUAGUAAUAUCGUGGAGGUUACCAGAAACACAGGUGGUGCAUGGUUGUCGUCAGCUCGUGUCGUGAGAUGUUAGGUUAAGUCCUAAAACGAGCGAAACCCUUAUCGUUAGUUGCCAGCACGUUAUGGGGGGACUUUAACGAGACUGCCCAUGAUAAAUUGGGAGGUGAGGAUCACGUCCAAUCAGCAUGCCCCUUAUGACCUGGGCUACAAACGUGAUACAAUGGGGUUACAAAGGGUAGCUAAAACGCAAGUUCUUGGGCAAUCCAAAACAGUCCCCGCCGGAUUGAAGUCACUCCCACUCCUUGAAAUUGGAAUCCCUCUUAAUCCCGAACAACGUCGCCGGGGAAAAUUGGUACCCGCC